rnacentral:lncRNA from 1 species
GUCACCCACCUUGAAAUAAUGAUGUCUGGAAGCAAGUAUGUGGGUGCAGUAUCAACAGCACUCCUCAAGUCACAUCUGUGUGUGCUCUUUUGGGAGUGACGAUCUGGUACACAGGCAAAUUCCUCAGAAAGAGAAUGAGUCAAAGGAUGGCUUUGUCCGGGAUGACAAAGCAGCCCGGACAGACCAUCAGUAAUGCAACCACAUCAGAGACCCUGUGGCCACUCCACAGCCACUUGGGUAACUGGCCAAGGAGCCAGAUAUUCCCCAGUCUGGCACCUGUGCCUAGUCUGAUGUGGCAGGGUAAAUGGUGUGUCCCACAUGGCUCCACCAUUUCCCUUCUUGAGUAUUUACACAUAUGCACACACAAAGGCAACCUCUCUCAUCUCAGGAAAGAAGUACAGGCCUGCUCUGGCCCUGGAAAAGAGCACCAAGGACUGGGCGCCAGCCAAGAUGCAGAAACCCUCUGAGAUGUGUGGCCAGUUCUGUUUGCUUUGUUGCCUGUCUGAUGCACCUUCAUCUCCCCUACCACCUGAAGUCAAGAGGCCAUCUUCCCUCCUGGCCUUCUCUUCAGCAGAUUGGCAGGGAUCUUCCCCAUUUUUCGUCUUCUUUGCCCCUUGUGCCCAUGCCCUGUCCAUUCCCCAGAGCUGCUGUGCCAGUCUCACCAGCUGCUUCAUCAUCCUCUGUCUUUGAAACAACUUUGAAACAACUAUUUCUAUGUUUUUUCUGCCAAGCAUGUUGCAAACUCAAGAGAGAGACCAGGAGAGAGGACCUACCUCUGGUCAUUUCACAGAGAUCUCCGGCAAGAUGUAAGAACAACUGCAUUCAAAGUCCUGACAAGCCUGGUCAAUCCAAGAUGGAGCAUGCUCAGUGA